rnacentral:rRNA from 1 species
UACGUAGGUGGCGAGCGUUGUCCGGAAUUACUGGGUGUAAAGGGCGUGUAGGUGGGAUUGCAAGUCAGAUGUGAAAUUCUUGAGCUUAACUCAAGAGCUGCAUCUGAAACUGUGAUUCUUGAGUACUGGAGAGGAUAGUGGAAUUCCUAGUGUAGCGGUGAAAUGCGUAGAUAUUAGGGGGAACACCAGUGGCGAAGGCGGCUAUCUGGACAGUAACUGACGCUGAGGCGCGAAAGCGUGGGGAGCAAACAGG